GCCCUGCCCCGCGGGAAGGCAGCUAAGGCCCCGCGAGAAAUUGAGCACAGCAGCUGCUGGCCCAGGUGCUAAGACCCUCACUGCCCGGGGCCGGUGGGGCCGGCCGGCCUCUCCGAGGGCGGGGUCUGCCAAGCCCACGCCCACCCGGAACUCACGCUGGCCCGCAAGCACCGCGCGCAGCCCCGGUUCCCGCCCACGCCUCUCCCUCCACACCUCGCCGCAAGCUGAGGGAGCUGGCUCCGGCCUUGGCCAGCCCAGAAUGGGGCCCCCACAGUGCAGCGGCGGGCUGAAGGGCUCCUCAAGUGCCGCCAAAGUAGGAGCCCAGGCAGAGGAGGCGCCGGGAGCGAGCAAGGGCUGUGAGGACUGCCAGCACGCUGUCACCUCUCAUAUGCAUAGGAGCUGUCCUUGGCCAAGAGGGAUGCUCCUUGCCUGGAAUGCUGCACUCUCACUACUUCCUGGGGGCAGACAUAGCCAAUGACUGAGGGACAGAAAUGUACAAAGGCUAGUCCUUUGUCUGAAGAUGAGAAUCCUGUGGCUCGGAGAGGCGAUACAACUUGCCUGAAAGCACAAAGCUAUGAAGCAAAGGCAUUCUGAUUAUAGAGUCACGCUAUUGUACAUUAUAUGGCCUCCAAAUUGAGCACCCUGCUAGGAUUCAAAAUAUGAGUGGGAGAUGCAGACAUCUUCUUGUGAUUUAAGCACCUUAUCUUUCAUUUAGAGGCACACAUGAUUAGACUCUGUGGUGUAAAUUAAUUCAAACAAAUUGGAGGAACUGAUGUUACAAACGUAAACAAGGUUCUCAUUAAAAUCUCCCUCAUUAAUUGUUUUUAUGGUGGCUGUUUGGUUUUUGUAGCCCUUACACAUGUUCUUGCAUUUAUAUUUCAGGUUCAGAUGAAGCUCAGACUGAAGCUGUAAUAAUGCUCUUGCCUACUAGGAAACAGCAGUUGGUAAUGCAUUCCUGGAUGUUCUUUUGAUAGUUCUUUCAUGGAGGAUAAACAUGUUACCUGGAGCAAGGAUUUGCAUCUCAAGAUUUCUACCACUGAGGGGAGCAUUGAGGGUAGAUGGAGCUCAGUUCAAAGAUAGCUGUAAAAUAUUAGCAUAUAACUAAUUUUAAGAAGCUAAAAUUUCUUUAUUACAGUGUAUUUGCU
rnacentral:lncRNA from 10 species